GCUUCAUGCUGACAGCGUUUAGCGGCCCGGGAAGAAAGCGGAAUUGAUCUGAGUCCGUUUUAAAAUGGUCCAAAUGUUCUUUCCCGGAUAGUUUACAUUUUUCCCCUUUUGUAUCCGUAGACUGAGGAUAACAUCAAUCAACGGCCGGCUCAUUUGAGAUGUCAGCUUCUUGAAAUUUCAGCGGCGUGGGAGUGAAGUGGCACUGAAAAGCCCGAUGUGGAAAAAAUGACUCGGCGGCGAUAUUCAUUAUGACCGCAUUAAGGUGUUUUCUCUGUCUCUGCUCCGUGUUUUAUGACAAAGCAACGGAUUCGCUCGGAUCCAGCUCACCGAGCACUGAUAAAGCUCAGCAAACCAACGCACACAAUGCGGGAAGCGGAGCAUGUUGUCAAAUGGGCCGUGCGUGGCAGACCUGACUCUCCAGACAAGCGGGGGCCCCUCGGGGAAGGUUCCGGAAAGCUCUUCACACUGGCCACUGCACCCCAGGACGUGGCUUUACAGCCAGUGAUCUUUCCGAACACAAUUAAGCACGGAGGGUUUGUGGGCCUCAGCACAAAUAGACCCACACUGCAUGAAAAGGUGACUGCAUGGAGAUCUGACCUGUCAUAAAUUCAGUCGGCGGGGUUGGUGACAGCACUGAAGCCAAUCUCCACGAGAGAAUAAAAAGCCGGUGAUGGAGCAACCCCCCCCCCCCACCCACACCCACGUGUUCCAGGCCCCUCAAGAUCCCGAGCUCGCCCUUUACCCUCACACCUCGCAGCUCCUCUUUCUCUGGGUCUACUCCCCCCCCCCUCUCCAUGGGGAUACUCCACAUUCCAGCUUCUCCAGCAGCCUUCCAUGAUUUCCCCAUCUUUGUGAAAGCCACAUCCCUGACAUCACGAAUGACCAGCGAGAAGCUCAAAGCCUUGGCCUGCCCUGAAAGCUCGCCCCCUGCUGGUCUGCUGCAGCUCUGACCCAACCCAGGGGGUUACAUCAGCGCCGCAGUAUAGAGCUGAUUGAGAGAUUCACUCCUUUUCUGCAGUUCUGUCCUUCCAGGCUAUAACUGCCUCUUCCCCCGGCCCCUGCAGCUUCCUGCAUACUGGAUGUUCCAGAAAAAAGCAUCGGACAUCUGCAGCUCUCUGUCCACGUGGCUUUGCAUGUGCUUUUACGUCUCCCUACGCGUUUGUGUGCCAGUUCUCACAGCCCUUGAGUUUUCAGAUUGUGUAUUUAAGUUGAAAGCUCUGGUACUGCUGUACAAGUCUGACAGCUGGAGAGCAAUUUCUCACCUUCAGAAUUUGAUUAUGCCUUCAACCCAGCAGAGGGGCACCUAUCCGACUAUUCGCCUGCCCCUUAGCGCAGACAGGCUAAACGCUAACAAUGCUUCACUGGCUACGCUGUAUCUACUUUGCAGGGUGCUUGCUUUGUUUUCCAUAUUUAUUGUUCUCUGUAUGUGUAUAUGCGCAGUAAUUGUGCCUUACGUAGACCACCUUGUGGUUUAUAGUGUGCGCUUAGCACUGGGUUUGUAUUGCCUUGCAUUGAAAGUGUCGAUGGAAUAAAUAAAUUUCAAAAGUGAAUGUAAA